UACGAAGGGGGCUAGCGUUGUUCGGAAUUACUGGGCGUAAAGCGCGCGCAGGCGGUUCUCCAAGUCAGUGGUGAAAGCCCCGGAGCUCAACUCCGGAACUGCCAUUGAAAACUGUUGAACUUGAGGACGAGAGAGGUGAGUGGAAUUCCCCAGUGUAGAGGUGAAAAUUCGUAGAUAUUGGGAAGAACACCAGUGGCGAAGGCGGCUCACUGGCUCGUAUCUGACGCUCAGGCGCGAUAGCGUGGGGAUCAAACAGG
rnacentral:rRNA from 1 species